GUAGCUUUGAUAUUGUUGUUUGAAAGAUUUACUGCCUGCAUUUCCAAGAACACUAUGGAAGGACCCCACUCUGAAAGGGGCUGUGCAAAGAUGUAAACAUCCCUGUACCAGGAGAUUGCUACGGCAGUGGAAUCACUUGAGAUGACUUUCCAGAAGGUGUAAAAGACUGAUAUGAUGGGCUGUCCUCCAUGUACUUGUUUGUAGAUGAGAUAUUUUUGCUACAGCCUGCAACAUUAAAGGGAAAAGGGGUGUGAACAGCACCAUCCACAAUGCCUUCCCUCGAGGGCAGGCAGCUGCUCCUGCCUUUGGUUGCCCACUGCAGACACAGCACAGCACAAGGGGAGCUGCGGCAGCCCUCUUCGGCAAUGGUGGGAAGGUGUUUCUGGCUCCCAGGUCUUGUGUGUUUCCCACAACGCAUCUUGCUUAUUUAAAAGCCCGGGUCUGUCAAGUUCAUGCUGUGUUCCUGCCUCCUGUUGAAGUUCCCAGCUCUGUGUGGGGUGAAAACUUCACCUCUUUAAAAGGCAGCUGAUGGAAUCCUUGACAUGUUUUCGUGGCAGCAAUUAAAAUCUCCUAUUAGGGAUGAGAGCCAGGGGCUGCUUCUGAGGUUAGCAAGGUCCCCCAGAAUAGUUUUCUCCACCUUUAGCAUCAGGAAAGAACAAUGAAUUUUUUUUUACCCCUUACCCCAAAUCUCUCUAUGCCAGAAAAUAAAGAAGUUAAUUUUCUUCCUGACAUUCCUGUGUGUCACACCCUCAUUACAACAUCCUCCUCUAGGAACAUUCCUGUGCGUGAGAAAGAAAAAAGUGAAUCUGAAGUGACUUUACUUGGUCUAAGUCUGGCCAAAAUUUCUGCCAGCAGCUACUCCCACACAUAGCCAUUGCUCAUAGGUAGAUGGGAAACUAGAGUUGAAGUUUAUCUUCCCCUGUCAAAAGGGCUCAAAACAUCAGGAUCAAAAAGCUAUGGGUAAGAGAGGAACACAGUGUGUGACAGUGAGUUUGCUCAAUUCACA